rnacentral:lncRNA from 1 species
UCUAUCCCAAUGCUUUGACAUAAAAAAAAAUGAUUAGAUGAACACAAUCUUUUAUAAAAUUCACAUACCCUAAAGCUAGAAGGUCCAGAGGGAAGUGCUCUGAUAGCAUCCAUAGUUCUUGCUGUGCCCCACGCAAGCCUUCUCCAGGUUUUCUUAAAGUUCCUGCUUUCCUUCUCUAUUCUGGUCCAUCUUUGCGGUUAGCUGGGGAAAGGCUUGGGUGUGGUUUCCUCACUUGCUUUGGGAUCAGGCUAUCAAGUUACAGCACUUGGUGUGACUUGGGAUUUUUUCCCUUUUUCCUGUCUGAGCCAAAUGAUGAGGGCAUUACGAAGAAUGAGUUUCCAUUUGUCAUCUGGAAGUCCCUAGAACCCAAGACUGGACCAGGUUCUAAACAGGAAGACAGAGGACCUCCUCCAGGGGCUCUAGAACUGAGUUCAGCAUUGAGCACUGCAUUGGCCCAUUUCUCUGUGAUCUCCUACCCACCUCAAAAUCUACUCACUGAAAACGUUGGAAAAUAUUCUCUGAGCACAGUUCAGUGACAGAAGCACAGCAAAUCUUACCUGCAGUAUACAAG